rnacentral:rRNA from 1 species
GUGCAAGCGUUACUCGGAAUUACUGGGCGUAAAGCGUGCGCAGGCGGCUUUGCAAGACAGAUGUGAAAUCCCCGGGCUUAACCUGGGAACUGCAUUUGUGACUGCAAGGCUGGAGUGCGGCAGAGGGGGAUGGAAUUCCGCGUGUAGCAGUGAAAUGCGUAGAUAUGCGGAGGAACACCGAUGGCGAAGGCAAUCCCCUGGGCCUGAACUGACGCUCAUGCACGAAAGCGUGGGGAGCAAACAGG